rnacentral:tRNA from 1 species
GAAGGUAUGGCUCAGAGGUAGAGCACAUGCUUAGCAUGCACGAGGUCCUGGGUUCAAUCCCUGAUACCUCCA